AGGGUUUGAUCCUGGCUCAGGAUGAACGCUGGCGGCAUGCCUAACACAUGCAAGUCGAACGAAGUUACCGGAGCAGCGGACUUAGGUUCAACGCACCGACUAACUUAGUGGCGGAUGGGUGAGUAACACGUGAGCAACCAACCUUUUACUCGGGAAUAACAUGGGGAAACCCAUGCUAAUACCUGAUAUUAUCAAGAAAUGGCAUCAUAAUUUGAUGAAAGGUUUAUCGGUAAAAGACGGGCUCGCGUCCGAUUAGCUAGUUGGUAAGGUAAUGGCUUACCAAGGCCACGAUCGGUAGCCGGACUGAGAGGUCGACCGGCCACAUUGGGACUGAGAACGGCCCAGACUCCUACGGGAGGCAGCAGUGGGGAAUAUUGGGCAAUGGACGCAAGUCUGACCCAGCGAUGCCGCGUGAAGGAUGGAAGGCCCUCGGGUUGUAAACUUCUUUAGACAGGGGAGAAAGAAAUGACAUUACCUGUAGAAUAAGCCACGGCUAACUACGUGCCAGCCGCCGCGGUAAUUC
rnacentral:rRNA from 1 species